GAUGAACGCUGGCGGCGUGCCUAAUACAUGCAAGUCGAGCGAACAGACGAGGAGCUUGCUCCUCUGACGUUAGCGGCGGACGGGUGAGUAACACGUGGAUAACCUACCUAUAAGACUGGGAUAACUUCGGGAAACCGGAGCUAAUACCGGAUAAUAUAUUGAACCGCAUGGUUCAAUAGUGAAAGACGGCUUUGCUGUCACUUAUAGAUGGAACCGCGCCGCAUUAGCUAAUUGGUAAGGUAACGGCCUACCAAGGCGACGAUGCGUAGCCGUUCUGGAAGGGUUAUCGGCAACACUGGAACGGAGACACACUCCAGACUCCUACGUAAGGCAGCAGUGUGGAAUCUUCCGCAAGAGGCGAAAGCUUUACGGAGGCAUGCCGGGUUAGUUAUGAAGGUCUUCGGAUCUUAAAUGUCUGUUAUUCGUGAAGAACGUAUGUUUAAGUAUCUAUGCACUUCUUGACGGUACCUAAUCAGAAAGCCACGGCUAACUACGUG
rnacentral:rRNA from 1 species